UGAGAAAAUUCCCCUUGGACGCAAAUUAUCUCUUCCUUUGUCUCUGUAUCGAGGUUUGGGCUCUCUACAUCCUCCAACUACAAGCUACUAUGAAUGGGCGCGGGCGUGGGCAAGGGGGGUUUAUUGUUGGGUUUUUUGUUUUGUGGAAUUUGAAUUUUUAUGUUUUUAAAUUUUUUAUUAUAUAUAUAUAACCUUAUAACAUUCGACUCAAAGCUAGUUCAGACAAGGGGAAUAUGACUAUUUAAUUAAAACAAAGAAUUGUGACGGACCCUGUGGAUGCUGACGCAAUGUGAUUUAUGCCCAGUGCUCUGAAUGUUAAAGUGAAUAAAUUCGACCAAGCACGGGUACACGACAGGAGUAAUUAUGACUCUAUUAAGGUAUCCAAAUGCCUCGCCAUCUAAUAAGUGAUGCACAUGAAUGGAUUAACUAGAUUCCCACUAUCCCUAUCUACUAUCUAGUGAAACCACAACCAAGGGAAUAUGCUUGGCAUAAUCAACAGGGAAAGAAGACCUUGUUGAGAUUUACUCUAGUUCAAUUUUGUGAAAUGAAUUGAGAGUUGUAGAAUAAGUGGGAUUCGUUUUCGGCACAAAUGAAAUACCACUACUUUUAACAUUAUUUUACUUAUAAUUUUGUGGGGUGGAGACAGGGAAGUUACCCUAUUUUUGGCCUUAAGUGAUGUUUCAAUGGGUCGAUCUAGGUGGAAGACAUUGUCAGGUGGGGGUUUUGGAUGGGGAAACACAUCUAUUAAAAGAUAACAUAAAAUAUAAUUGGUGUAGAUAGAACAUUUGUAUUUGGGAAAUCCUAGUGUACAACCACCCUUAUUACCUUUCCCUCCUAAUCUAUAGUUACAUCUAGUCAUUUCUAAAUUGAAUCUAGUUUCCUCACUUGCACAAUAUGGAUAGAUGUGUGAACCCUAUAUAUUA
rnacentral:ncRNA from 1 species